rnacentral:rRNA from 1 species
UACGAAGGGGGCUAGCGUUGCUCGGAAUCACUGGGCGUAAAGCGCACGUAGGCGGCUUUCUAAGUCAGGGGUGAAAUCCUGGAGCUCAACUCCAGAACUGCCUUUGAUACUGGAGAGCUUGAGUCCGGAAGAGGUGAGUGGAACUCCGAGUGUAGAGGUGAAAUUCGUAGAUAUUCGGAAGAACACCAGUGGCGAAGGCGGCUCACUGGUCCGGUACUGACGCUGAGGAGCGAAAGCGUGGGGAGCGAACAGG